rnacentral:tRNA from 1 species
GGGAAUGUGGCUUAGUGGUAGAGUGCUUGCCUAGCAAGUAUGAAGUCCUGGGUUUGAUUCCUCAGUACCA